CCUACGGGAGGCAGCAGUGAGGAAUAUUGGUCAAUGGACGAGAGUCUGAACCAGCCAAGUAGCGUGAAGGAUGACUGCCCUAUGGGUUGUAAACUUCUUUUAUAUGGGAAUAAAAUGUUCCACGUGUGGGAUUUUGUAUGUACCAUAUGAAUAAGGAUCGGCUAACUCCGUGCCAGCAGCCGCGGUAAUACGGAGGAUCCGAGCGUUAUCCGGAUUUAUUGGGUUUAAAGGGAGCGUAGGUGGAUUGUUAAGUCAGUUGUGAAAGUUUGCGGCUCAACCGUAACAUUGCAGUUGAAACUGGCGGUCUUGAGUACAGUAGAGGCGGGCGGAAUUCGUGGUGUAGCGGUGAAAUGCUUAGAUAUCACGAAGAACUCCGAUUGCGAAGGCAGCUCACUGGACUGCAACUGACACUGAGGCUCGAAAGUGUGGGUAUCAAACAGGAUUAGAUACCCGAGUAGUC
rnacentral:rRNA from 1 species